AUGCCCUGGCAGUCAGAGGCGAUGAAGGACGUGCUAAUCUGCGAUAAGCGUCGGUAAGGUGAUAUGAACCGUUAUAACCGGCGAUUUCCGAAUGGGGAAACCCAGUGUGAUUCGUCACACUAUCAUUAACUGAAUCCAUAGGUUAAUGAGGCGAACCGGGGGAACUGAAACAUCUAAGUACCCCGAGGAAAAGAAAUCAACCGAGAUUCCCCCAGUAGCGGCGAGCGAACGGGGAGGAGCCCAGAGCCUGAAUCAGUGUGUGUGUUAGUGGAAGCGUCUGGAAAGGCGCGCGAUACAGGGUGACAGCCCCGUACACAAAAAUGCACAUGCUGUGAGCUCGAUGAGUAGGGCGGGACACGUGGUAUCCUGUCUGAAUAUGGGGGGACCAUCCUCCAAGGCUAAAUACUCCUGACUGACCGAUAGUGAACCAGUACCGUGAGGGAAAGGCGAAAAGAACCCCGGCGAGGGGAGUGAAAAAGAACCUGAAACCGUGUACGUACAAGCAGUGGGAGCCUCUUUAUGGGGUGACUGCGUACCUUUUGUAUAAUGGGUCAGCGACUUAUAUUCUGUAGCAAGGUUAACCGAAUAGGGGAGCCGAAGGGAAACCGAGUCUUAACUGGGCGUUAAGUUGCAGGGUAUAGACCCGAAACCCGGUGAUCUAGCCAUGGGCAGGUUGAAGGUUGGGUAACACUAACUGGAGGACCGAACCGACUAAUGUUGAAAAAUUAGCGGAUGACUUGUGGCUGGGGGUGAAAGGCCAAUCAAACCGGGAGAUAGCUGGUUCUCCCCGAAAGCUAUUUAGGUAGCGCCUCGUGAAUUCAUCUCCGGGGGUAGAGCACUGUUUCGGCAAGGGGGUCAUCCCGACUUACCAACCCGAUGCAAACUGCGAAUACCGGAGAAUGUUAUCACGGGAGACACACGGCGGGUGCUAACGUCCGUCGUGAAGAGGGAAACAACCCAGACCGCCAGCUAAGGUCCCAAAGUCAUGGUUAAGUGGGAAACGAUGUGGGAAGGCCCAGACAGCCAGGAUGUUGGCUUAGAAGCAGCCAUCAUUUAAAGAAAGCGUAAUAGCUCACUGGUCGAGUCGGCCUGCGCGGAAGAUGUAACGGGGCUAAACCAUGCACCGAAGCUGCGGCAGCGACACUAUGUGUUGUUGGGUAGGGGAGCGUUCUGUAAGCCUGUGAAGGUGUGCUGUGAGGCAUGCUGGAGGUAUCAGAAGUGCGAAUGCUGACAUAAGUAACGAUAAAGCGGGUGAAAAGCCCGCUCGCCGGAAGACCAAGGGUUCCUGUCCAACGUUAAUCGGGGCAGGGUGAGUCGACCCCUAAGGCGAGGCCGAAAGGCGUAGUCGAUGGGAAACAGGUUAAUAUUCCUGUACUUGGUGUUACUGCGAAGGGGGGACGGAGAAGGCUAUGUUGGCCGGGCGACGGUUGUCCCGGUUUAAGCGUGUAGGCUGGUUUUCCAGGCAAAUCCGGAAAAUCAAGGCUGAGGCGUGAUGACGAGGCACUACGGUGCUGAAGCAACAAAUGCCCUGCUUCCAGGAAAAGCCUCUAAGCAUCAGGUAACAUCAAAUCGUACCCCAAACCGACACAGGUGGUCAGGUAGAGAAUACCAAGGCGCUUGAGAGAACUCGGGUGAAGGAACUAGGCAAAAUGGUGCCGUAACUUCGGGAGAAGGCACGCUGAUAUGUAGGUGAAGUCCCUCGCGGAUGGAGCUGAAAUCAGUCGAAGAUACCAGCUGGCUGCAACUGUUUAUUAAAAACACAGCACUGUGCAAACACGAAAGUGGACGUAUACGGUGUGACGCCUGCCCGGUGCCGGAAGGUUAAUUGAUGGGGUCAGCGCAAGCGAAGCUCUUGAUCGAAGCCCCGGUAAACGGCGGCCGUAACUAUAACGGUCCUAAGGUAGCGAAAUUCCUUGUCGGGUAAGUUCCGACCUGCACGAAUGGCGUAAUGAUGGCCAGGCUGUCUCCACCCGAGACUCAGUGAAAUUGAACUCGCUGUGAAGAUGCAGUGUACCCGCGGCAAGACGGAAAGACCCCGUGAACCUUUACUAUAGCUUGACACUGAACAUUGAGCCUUGAUGUGUAGGAUAGGUGGGAGGCUUUGAAGUGUGGACGCCAGUCUGCAUGGAGCCGACCUUGAAAUACCACCCUUUAAUGUUUGAUGUUCUAACGUUGACCCGUAAUCCGGGUUGCGGACAGUGUCUGGUGGGUAGUUUGACUGGGGCGGUCUCCUCCUAAAGAGUAACGGAGGAGCACGAAGGUUGGCUAAUCCUGGUCGGACAUCAGGAGGUUAGUGCAAUGGCAUAAGCCAGCUUGACUGCGAGCGUGACGGCGCGAGCAGGUGCGAAAGCAGGUCAUAGUGAUCCGGUGGUUCUGAAUGGAAGGGCCAUCGCUCAACGGAUAAAAGGUACUCCGGGGAUAACAGGCUGAUACCGCCCAAGAGUUCAUAUCGACGGCGGUGUUUGGCACCUCGAUGUCGGCUCAUCACAUCCUGGGGCUGAAGUAGGUCCCAAGGGUAUGGCUGUUCGCCAUUUAAAGUGGUACGCGAGCUGGGUUUAGAACGUCGUGAGACAGUUCGGUCCCUAUCUGCCGUGGGCGCUGGAGAACUGAGGGGGGCUGCUCCUAGUACGAGAGGACCGGAGUGGACGCAUCACUGGUGUUCGGGUUGUCAUGCCAAUGGCACUGCCCGGUAGCUAAAUGCGGAAGAGAUAAGUGCUGAAAGCAUCUAAGCACGAAACUUGCCCCGAGAUGAGUUCUCCCUGACUCCUUGAGAGUCCUGAAGGAACGUUGAAGACGACGACGUUGAUAGGC
rnacentral:rRNA from 1 species